UUCCAACCGAGAGGUUGUGAGUUCGAGUCUCCCCAAGAGCAUGGUGGGAAGUUCUUGGAGGGAAGGACGAUGGUAAGCAACUCCCACUUCCAACCGAGAGGUUGUGAGUUCGAGUCUCCCCACGAGCAAGGUGGGAAGUUCUUGGAGGUAAGGAUGCCGGGGGUCUAUUUGGAAACAACCUCUCUACCCAAGGGUACCCAAGGAUAGGGGUAAGGUCUGCGUACACACUACCCUCCCCAGACCCCACUAAGUGGGAUUGUACUGGGUUGUUGUUGUUGUUGUUGCUUACUCAUAAGCAAGGAAGAAGGGCUGAUUUGGAUUAAUUAAGUUGUUCAUGAUACUUUUAUAGGGAUUAGUCAAUUGAACUUAUUGGGGUACAUUAGAUCAAUACAUUAAUCUAUUAUGUGGACAUAUUUUACACCAUAACUAAAUAUUUUAUCUUUUAAAGCAAUUAGACGUUCUCUAGAUUUUACACUUAUCUCUACACAGAGACACAAGUCUCUAACAAGUCUAAGACGAUCCCUACUAGGUUAAGUUCAAAAACAACAACUCAGCACUAAUUCCAAGUAGUUGAUAUCACAUUGAUUGAUCAUUUGCUUCCAUUAUGUCAUGUUCUUAAUCAAAUUCGUAUUAAUUUAGAGAAAGUCUAAGUCUCGAGAUACAACUUCCCUCCAAGUAGUUUUAGGUCUACCUCAUCCUGCUUUAGUACAUUCACUCGUCAUACAUCAAUGCCCGCCUACUUCGUAUCCUUCCAAUCACAUCCCAAUAGACCAGACAGAGAGGUCAUGCAACAAAAGGUUGAUAUAAAGUUCAGACUUUUACUAUUUUAAGCAACAAGGCUCAAUUCCCUUAUACAGCUAGUUAAUGCUGUUGAAAAAUCUCAAGUUCCCUGGCUGAUAUAGCAGGCCCACAACCAAGGCCUCAAAGGAAUAAGACAUACAAAGCAAAAGACACAAGCUACAUGUGUUUCCUGCUUCAUGUUAUCAUCCAUUUUAACAUGAAUCUAAAAACCUGCAACAAGCAUGCCAAGCCAAUGGGUAAGCUCAACCCUUGUCAACAUUGUAUUUAUACAAGUGCACCAAACGUUCUAGUAUAUUGCCACAAAAUGGGAUAAACAAAGUAGCAUUGUUUAACAGUUGUAUUAAGUAUUAUGUACGGACUCCAGCCCAUUUUUCAUUAUAUAAGGCUAGUAGAUCAAGUACAGAAUCAAUUGGUUUCAUUAAACUAGCGAUAUGCUGUGUUUUCAAUGGUUUCUACAUAAGGAGGCAAAAGAUGAUAUCUUGAGCGUUUACAUAUCCGGGACGGCGACCUAACACAAAUAGAUGCGUCAGAAGUUCCAUACAGAUUACCUAUCAAUACAAUUUCAAAUCAUUUAAAUCUCAUGCAUGGAUUAUUUAUUGUCUGUUAGGGUAGAAUAUUCAUGUGGGAUUUUCUUACUUUUUGCGUGUGCAGUACAUGUUCCUUCUGUUUCAAAUAUAAGAAAAGACUUGUAAAAAAUUUGUUUCAUAGAGAAAACACUAUAUCAUGGAACUUUAAUUUCUUGAAAUUUCUACAGGUUAUUAAAUGAUGUAGCUAUAAGACAAAAUGUGCAACAUAAAUUAAGACAAGAAUCAAUAAGUAUUUACAUGACGUAGCUAUGAAGAGCCAUGAAAGUAGUACUCUAAUAAUUUUUUAAGCCCGACAUAAGAUGGUUCU
rnacentral:lncRNA from 1 species